AAAAAAAAUCUCUUCCAAAAAAGCACCGGUUUGCAGAUGUCUGCGAGAGAACCAACAAACCCUCCUUCCUCCCGGCAGGGCAGAAAUGUGCCAAUUUCAACAAAACCUUUUCAGUUUCAAGAAGGCUUUUCUGUUUAAAAGUGAAUAAAGCUUAGAAGACCCACCUGGCCAGUAAUGUAUGUAAAGGAAGACAGCACAAAGAUGAGUGCUGCAUACUUUGGCUCCAGCCAUGACAACACAAUACCCAUGAAGCAGCCCUUAAAGAUCACUCUGGUGUUCACACAGCAGGAGUUCGGAGAACAUAAACCCAGUACAAGCCCAAGUUUCCAGACACAUAAUUCCUCAGCUCUGUGGGGCUGCAUGACCUUGUUUGGCCCAUCCUGGUGUAUCCUUGUUGCGGAAGUGUGGUGAAGAUGGGGAUUCUGAGAUGCUCCAUAUCUCUUCUGAGGCUCUGCAGGUGUCUGAAGGAACUGUAGUUGUCUGACAAAAAAAAAAAAAAAACAAAAUGUGCGCAUGGGACACCUUCAAAUCAAAACAGCUCAGGUGAAAAAUUACAAGGGGAACAUUACAGCCUUCUCCCUCACUCCAUGUCCUGACCACACAGCUCUACGCAACACACAUCCUAGCAGUGCAAAGUGGUUGUACGGUUCAGCAAUCCUCAGCUUUAAUUUAUACAGACUGGCACACUUGGACCUUCAUUGAGCUACAAUUUCAUUUUACCUCAGUACACUUCCAACAUUUCUGAAAGUGAGGUUUCAAAUACCAGGAGUUUCCACCUGAAGAAGAAACUGAUUCUCAGGGAAGAAAGCAAGUUUUUAAAAUUAGAAACGAACAAACAAAAAACAACACAAACCUUUACCUUUACACCUACUUCGUCAGCUGAACAGCUUCACUGUCCAGUGAAGGAGGAACUUCACUGUUCCUCCAUCAUAUCUGAAAAGUCUCCAUCAUAUUAGAAAAGUUGUGGCUGUCAGCUGAGGUCCCGGAUGACUGGAGGAGGGGUCACUUCACCCCCAUUUACAAGACAGGGAGCAAGGAGGAUCUGGGGAACUACAGGCUGGUGAGUCUCACCUCUGUGCCUGGGAAGAUCAUGGAACAGAUCAUCCUGGAUGACAUGCUUGAUCACAUGAGGAUCACACCUACACAGCCAGCACAGCUUCACCAGGGGAAGGUCAUGCUUAACCAAUCUGGUGGCCUUCUAUGAUGGAGUGACAGCAUUGGUGGACAAGGGGAAGGCGACCGAUGUCAUUUACCUGGACUUGAGCAAGGCCUUUGAUAUGGUCCCCCACCACAUCCUUAUCUCCAAAUUGGAGGAAUGGGGAUUUGAUGGGUGGGUCACUCGAUGGAUAAGAAAUUGAUUGAAAGGACGCAGACAGAGGGUGGUCAUCAAUGGCUCUAUGUCCAGGUGGAGGCUGGUAAUGAGCAGCGUCCCCCAGGGGUCUGUGUUGGGACCGGUGCUCUUUAACAUCUUUAUCAAUAACAUCGAUGAUGGAAUCGAGUGCACCCUCAGUAAGUUUGCUGACAACACCAAGCUGAGUGGUGCGGUUGACAUGGUGGAAGGAAGGGAUGCCAUUCAGAGGGACCUCGAGAGGCUAGGAAGGUGGGCCUGGGUGAGGUUCAACAUGGCAAAGUGCAGAGUUUUGCACUUGGGCUGGAGGAAUCCCAGGCAUCCAUACAGACUGGAAGGAGCGGUCCUUGAGAGCAGGCCUGCAGAGAAGAACCUGGGGGUCUUGAUAGAUGAAAAGCUUAACAUGAGCCAGCAGUAUGCCCUUGCUGCUUGGAAGGCAAAUGGUAUCUCCAUCAGGUCUCUUCCAACCCUGGACGUUCUGUGAUUCUGUGAAAUGCUUAACGCUGAGAUCUUUGUAUGAAUGCAAUUAUGAAGAUAUCUAUGAUAUUUUACUGAAGUUAGGACAGUUGUCAGUAAUGAAGUGUAAUUUAUUACCAAAAAUAUGUUUGUUAUGUAUUGUUGUAAGUGUGUGUAGAAUUUUAAACAACUAUCAUUCCAACUUUAUGCAUGCUGUAAUUUUAUUGUCUUUUGUUGAAGCUUGCUAUAGAUUCCCAUCUAGAGUUAGGAGAGGAAGGAGUAGAAUGGGUGGUUAAAACAGUGUAUUCAAAGUCAAAAUUUGAAAGAAAGGAAGUUUUGUUCAGUAAAAACUUUUCUUCAUGCUUCUCUUGGAAUCUUCUUUGGAUUUUACCUGUCAGGAACAAGCUCCUUAAAAUUGGCUUUAUGUGUACCUGGAAUUUGGAUUUGCUUGUGCAGGUGGGAUGAAGGGUUGACUUAUAAAUCCCAGUGGCAGUAUCAUGUGAAAGACUCCCUUCAGGGCCUCUUGGCACUUUCUGUUGGUAGCACAAUAACUGUAUUUCAUGACAUUGUCCAGGAUACGGAGCAUGGGCAAGAGAAAGCAUUAUUAUUCACAAGCCCCAGAUGCUGGUUCAAUACCCUGUUUGUUUUCACUAAAAUGUCUUUGCUUCUGGCUGUCAAAUCUCAGGAUUUUCCUACAGGUUAAUUCAAGGUGGUUUCUGAAAUGGUUGCAGACUCCCUACAGCUGGUCCUGUAGCUGUCAACUUUCUCAAUCAUUCAUUUGCAGUUUUUGGCUCUGUAGUUUCUGAUUAAAGACCUUGAAAAUUUCUGCCUAAUCUGAUCGGGGUUCUCCAGGUUAUUUAACUCUUUAUGAAUCAUCCUGUACAUGAAAUAGUUGAAAUAAAUGAAACUAGUAUAAAAGA